AAUCCCUGUAGUUGGAAAAAUGUACGAAUGGUAUUGGCCAACUGAACAUGGAACUAAAAAAGCUGAACAAAAUGUUUAAGUCGAUUUUAAUUGGGAUAAAAAAAUUGGACAGGUUCAAGAUAUAACCGAUUCCUAUUUAGAAGCAAAUUGUAUUGUAAUCAAAAUUAAAAUCAAUCAAAGUAAAUUUGCCAUAGUUGAAUUUUUAAAUGAACAAUCUAUUGAAGUGGUACCUUGUAGUUGGAUUAAAGUUGAUCAUAUAUCAAAGCGUUUUAUUUGUUGUUGGCCUGGUGGCAAAAACAUGUCUAAAUUUGCUUUAUCACAAAAAAAACCUUUAAAUUCGUGGGAAGAACACGACUGUCUGCCACGUAAAUUUUUCGAAACUCAUGCAUUGGCGAAGAAAAAAUUAUUAAAUUUCUGUUAUACCAGCUCAACAGAAAUAGAAGAGACAGAAAACCGUAGAAAACAUAUAAAAAGGAAACGUUUUAACUCAUAUAGCAGUGAUGAAGACCUUA